rnacentral:hammerhead_ribozyme from 1 species
ACUUUUCUGAUGAGUGCCAAAUAGCACGAAACUCGAGUCCAGAGU